rnacentral:tRNA from 1 species
UCCUCGGUAGCUCAGCGGUAGAGCGAUCGGCUGUUAACCGAUUGGUCGUAGGUUCGAAUCCCACCCGGGGAG